rnacentral:rRNA from 1 species
AUGCCGACGACACUACCGGCGUCCAGCACGGGCAGGCUGUGGUGCGCGCCGUCGCCGUUGCCGAAGGGGCCGUGGGUGGUCCCCAGGUUGGUCACGAACUUGAGCGAGGUGACGCACGCCUCGAUCUCCUUGAGCUUGAACGGGCCCACGGUCCAGCCGACCUCCGUCACGUACUCCGAGGGCCCCAGGGUGAUCUGUGCGUACAAGCAUAUAUAUCAAGGAUUUUCCGGGGAGUUUUGGAAAGAGGUACAUAAAAAAUUGAAUUUUGAAUCUGAAUUUGAAUUUGAAAGAAAAGGCCCACCAGGUCUUCCGACACGCCUCCGGCACCGCCCCAGGGCCCGGCGGCGUGCAGCUGCCCGUCCUUGUCGGUGUAGGUGA